CUACGGGUGGCACCAGUGAGGAAUAUUGCACAAUGGGGGGAACCCUGAUGCAGCAACGCCGCGUGGAGGAUGACGCAUUUCGGUGUGUAAACUCCUUUUAUAUGUCAAGAAAAUGACGGUAGCAUAUGAAUAAGCACCGGCUAACUCCGUGCCAGCAGCCGCGGUAAUACGGAGGGUGCAAGCGUUACUCGGAAUCACUGGGCGUAAAGGACGCGUAGGCGGGUUGGAAAGUCAGGUGUGAAAUCCUACAGCUUAACUGUAGAACUGCGCUUGAAACUGCUAAUCUAGAGUAUGGGAGGGGGAGAUGGAAUUAGUGGUGUAGGGGUAAAAUCCGUAGAUAUCACUAGGAAUACCUAAAGCGAAGGCGAUCUACUGGAACAUUACUGACGCUAAGGCGUGAAAGCGUGGGGAGCAAACAGGAUUAGAUACCCGGGUAGUC
rnacentral:rRNA from 1 species